UUUGUUGAAAUUCUAACCCUUGGUAUAUGGCAAGGCUUAGCCAUUCAUCUUCAUGAACUAUUGAGAUUAUUUAAGGCAAAAAACCUAUAUUACAAUAUGCUUUAUGUUUCAAGACCUAAGCUUCCUAUUUUGAUUCUCUAAAAUAUACAAGACAUUAAAAGGAGCUUCACAUGCUACAUAAUUCAUCGCUCUGGAUAUUUGAUUCUUUACAUAAAUGGUAAGUUUUCAUUUGUCCAACUAACCUUUUUCUGUAAUUUUCAAUUAAGUAGUUAAGUUACAAUUGUCAAAAGAGUAAGGUUAGAAUUACAAAUUAUCCUGUACGAAAUUACAUCUCAUUAAAAUAUUGGUUAUACAAAAAUACAGAAUUUAAUAUACGUAAUUAAAAAUUAGCGUUGGUUAGGUAAAUAGUGCUAAAUUUCUAUAUCAUUAAGAUGUAACUAUAUAAGGAAGAAGGGCUAACAAUCCUUAUAUGAGAUGCCAACUGGAAUAUGUCAAAGAGGAGUUGUCUACUCCAAAAUUUUACUCAACCACAAUUAAUAUAUAGUUGUUAAUAAGAAAGGUUCUAAGUCGCUAUCGAGGCCAACUCAGGUUCUGUUAAAAGAUAAUGCACAUAUAGUAGAGCAGUUAUGCUAAACUAAUCUCAAUAGUUUGCAAGUUAAUUAUUAGUAAAUAGUCUCAGAUUUUUAAAUUCUUAGGAACAAUAAAUUCAAUGCUGCUUUUAAAGUUUCGACAGCUAGUUUUAUAGUACGUUUACUAAUUGCUAAUCAAAAUGAACUAAAAUUGGAAUGAUCAGGAAUCAGAAUAAAUUGGAAUGAGAAUGUGGGAUGAGAAUAAGAAUGCAGUUGUUGCUUGAACUACAGAAAUCAAAAUCGAAAUAAGAUGUAUUUCUAUUGAUGUGUUUACUUUGUCUAAGAAUUGGAAUUAAUUGUUUGAAAUUAUUAAAAUUCCCUUAGUUAAUUAUUGUCAUUUUUAUUAUUAUUUACUAUAAUAAUUGUUAUGAAUAAUAAUAAUAAUGAUUUAUCAUCAUCAUCAUCAUCAUCAUCAUUACUACUACUACUACUACUAACAACAAAUAAUGAAAGACCUAUUUGAAAACAUUACAAAAGUUCUAGGUAUUUUUAUAAAUUUUGUAAGUACCAAAAUGCAAAAGUGAUAGGACAUAAUUGAGAGUAAUUUGGGGAUUGUGAAAAUUCAAUGGGGGCAAAAUGAGUUAGUUCUGGGAAUGGAAAAUUCAUUCCCACCCUUCUUAGGAAAUAGACUCGCAUUCCUUAAUCCCAUUUUACUAUGGAUCCCACUCAAAUGAUUAUCAUUCCCACCCUUAUUUUGUGAAGUGAACACUAUUAAUGAUCCCAAUUUUGAAUUUUGGUUCUUCAAUCCGAAAAGUAAACACACCAUUAGUUCUUUUUAAAUAGAAUUAAUUAAAAAAUAAUAAUAGUUCCAAAAAUAUCAUAGGAAAUAAACUACAAUGAAUGUGAGUAAUUCUUGAGUUGCACUUAAGCUUGGGCAUUCUUGAACGAUCGUAAGAUUCAAAACUGGUGUAGUAAGGUGCUUGUUACUUUACCAUUAUUAUUAUUGAAUGAAAAUGAGAGUAAAUUGAUCUAUUCACAUUUUCAAUGGGUAAUUUAAAAUUUGUUAUUCUAGUAGGAGGUUAAAAGAAAUUUUACCCCUAUUAUUAUUAUUAUUAUUACUACUACUACUACUACCACCACCUCUACUACCACCUAUGACUUGAAUCAUUGUGCUUAAGAUCCAAGACAUUAGACCUUAGAGGACUGAUAUUGAAGUGCGUGAUAUUAGAACAUGAGACCCAGCAUUAGAACACUUGGAGUCUAUUCUUACGAUGGAGGAGAGAUUGUUAAUUUUUAACUAUUAUUUUCAUAAUAUCCAAUAACUCCCCUAACACCAUAUAGUUCAACUGAUCCAUAUUUUGUUGAAUUAAAGCAAAUUUUGUGAAAAAAAUCUUAUCAAACUAAUUAAAUAAAAAAUCAAUCCAAACCUAGUCAGUUUAAUUUGGUUAUGUUCGAUUUGAUUCAAGCCAUAUUGUAACAAUCCAAGACCAACAACCAAGUAGAUAAUGUCACUUUGGGCACAUAGUUCAUUACUAGUUCGUUAUUAAGCUUUGCAAUCUAAAACAUGUCUACUUAGUUAGGAGAGCACAAGACUUAUGAACUAGUCCAAACUCUCUCACUAGUGAUGUGGGAUGUUACAUACUUCUCCCCUUGAGGACCGCAUGUCCUUGUGAGGGUCACUGGAAAUAAGACGGAACGAAAUCAUAUCAUUAACAUAUCCAUCCACACAUAGGGUCAUAGCAUAUCUUUGAUACCCAUUGUAAUAGCCCAAGCCUAACAACCAACUCUCCCCUUGAGGACCACGCAACCUCGUGAGGAUCAUUAGAGACAAGACAGAACGAAUAUCAUAUCAUCAACAUAUCCAUCCACACAUUAGGUCACGACCUAUCUCUGAUACCAAUUGUGAUAGCCUAAACCUAAUAACCAAGUAGAUAUUGUCAAUUUUGGGCACACAACGACUCAUGGUUUUAUUAUUGGGCUUUGUAACCUUUAGUUAGGAGAGCACAAGGCUUACAAACUAGUUAAGGUAUUGUCUCGCUAGCAAUGUGGGAUGUUACAGAUAUCAUCACAUUUUUUUCUUUAUCAAAAUAUCUAAGGUCCACCACUUCUACAUUUUCUAAAAUUUUAGGAUAAUAAUUCAUUCUUGGUUCAAUUUGGUUUGACCGAUCCAAACAAAAAUUAAAACUUAUUGAAUGUCAUAAGAAUCAAGCUAAAAUAAAUUCGAUUCAAUUUUUUAGUUUCCUACUCACUCUUAGUUUUGUGACUCGAUUUAAAGGUCUUGCAAGUAGAGUUGACAAAAUAGGUCACCAAGUCAUAUUUAUGUCAUGUCAAUUUUGUGUUGGGUCAAAUUUAAGAUGACCCAAACACGAACCAUUUAAUGAUCGUGUUAAAAUAUUGAAACCUGAACAUGACACAAAAAAUAAACGAGUUGCUGCUUUAUAAAAUGGAAUACCAUAUAAAUGGUCAUCCUACAAAAAACAAGAAGAGAGCGAGAGAGAAAAACUUGUCGAAUAUUUAAGUUUUUAUGACAAGAACCUGCAAAUUAAGUUAUAAUAGAAAAGAUAAGUAUAUUUUAAUGCAAAUGUGAAUUAGUGUUGGUUAACCAUUUAACAAUCAUGUCACUAACCGGAUAAAUGAGUCAAGAUAUUAAACUCUAACCUAACAUGAAGAAACCAUAUUGACCGUGACACGACCCAUUUAAUAAUUGUAUCAAUUUUCAUGACCCAAACCUAUUUAUUUAUGUUGUGUAAGUCUUGGGUAAACAUGUCAUGUCAAAUCUAGCCCGCUCUAUCCGCAAAAUGCAAAACCUAAUAUUAGAAACUAAAUUUUUAAUUCACUAUAAAGAAGGAAAUGAUACUUUAGUUCCUUUCAAAAAUUGUUUUUACACUUGAGACCUGAUAAAUUUUUAGUGUCCUAUUUCAUCUAUGAUAUUAAAACAAUGUCAAAAUUUACCAGUGUAAAAUAUGAU
rnacentral:lncRNA from 1 species